rnacentral:sRNA from 1 species
AGCUGGUUAAAUUGAGCAGUUGUAUAUAACAGCCUGACUACGUUUGGACCCGACAGAGUUCUGAAGAAUCAAGUUACAUUGAAAACUAAAACGGAAAAAAAAAUGGCACUAUUGAAUGUUGAAAUUAUCUUGACGAUUGUUUGUCUUCUAGCAGUCGAUUGGUCAGAGUCAGGAGAGUGUGCUCAAACGGGCCAAUUCUGCUCAAGAUAUGAUGGAUGCUGUCAAGCAAAUGAAGUCUGCUUAGCUCACAAUGGAUAUACAGACUUUUCGGAAUCUACAUUCUGUACAAACCUUCAAAGUAAGGUAAAUGCUGGACCGAAACUUGCCUCUGG